AUGAGGAGCUUCGUCUGCUUGUCACUGGGUGCAGCUGUGAUCUUGCUUCUGGUAUUGGCUUCGGCCAUGGAGGCUGGAGCCAUCCGACUCGACGCGGGGACCCGGGCCUCAGUCAGCGGCGGCAGUAACCAAACGGCCACUGAUAAACCAACUAUGAACAAUGUCGUCGAUGUGGUCAAGGCUUCUGCUGGCUCAACAAGCGAGACGAAGAAGAGCGUGGACGUUGCCACGGGUGAAGUUAGGGCGGUGGCGCAUAAGAUGCCAGAGUUCCAUGAGGACUACUACGGCCCGAGUGAUCACAGCCCUAGGCACCACUGA
rnacentral:rRNA from 1 species